GCAACCCUGGUGGCGAGUGGCGAACGGGUGAGUAAUACAUCGGAACGUGUCCUGUAGUGGGGGAUAGCCCGGCGAAAGCCGGAUUAAUACCGCAUACGCUCUACGGAGGAAAGGGGGGGAUCUUAGGACCUCCCGCUACAGGGGCGGCCGAUGGCAGAUUAGCUAGUUGGUGGGGUAAAGGCCUACCAAGGCGACGAUCUGUAGCUGGUCUGAGAGGACGACCAGCCACACUGGGACUGAGACACGGCCCAGACUCCUACGGGAGGCAGCAGUGGGGAAUUUUGGACAAUGGGGGAAACCCUGAUCCAGCAAUGCCGCGUGUGUGAAGAAGGCCUUCGGGUUGUAAAGCACUUUUGUCCGGAAAGAAAACCUCUGGGUUAAUACCCCGGGGGGAUGACGGUACCGGAAGAAUAAGCACCGGCUAACUACGUGCCAGCCGCCGCGGUAAUACGUAGGGUGCAAGCGUUAAUCGGAAUUACUGGGCGUAAAGCGUGCGCUGGCGGUCCGCUAAAACAGAUGUG
rnacentral:rRNA from 2 species